rnacentral:rRNA from 1 species
AACGUAGGUACCGAGCGUUAUCCGGAUUUACUGGGCGUAAAGCGCGUUCAGGCGGUUUGGCAAGUCGGGCAUGAAAUCUCUCGGCUCAACCGGGAGAGGUUGUCCGAUACUGCUGGACUUGAGGGCAGUAGAGGGUGGUGGAAUUCCGGGUGUAGUGGUGAAAUGCGUAGAUAUCCGGAGGAACACCAGUGGCGAAGGCGACGUUCUGGCCUGUUCUUGACGCUGAGGCGCGAAAGCUAGGGGAGCAAACGGG